rnacentral:lncRNA from 1 species
AUUCUCUUCCUGAAUGUACACUAAUAGCUGUUAAACUUGCUGCUGUUAAUUAUUUCCAUGUUACGCCUCAUUCUUAAGCUCAUUUGAAAUCGAGAAUUUUUCAUAAAUUCAAUUAAAUGAAAAAAAAAUUUAUUAUUUUCUUUUGAAAUUAAGGAAUUUUACUCUUUUUAAUUAUUUUCUUUUAAUUUAAUAUAUAUAUAUUAAAUUAAACUUGAUUUAUAAUUUUAGAUAAAAAUCAUAUAUUCUAAGAUAAUUUGAGAUUUUAAGAGAUUGAGUGUAUAUGUCUGGGUGCAGGCAAGACCUAUCAUUUGAAAUUUAAGGGGAAGAAUCUGUGGCAAACGUAAUAGGAUGGACUGAAUGAAAACCUAAUUUCGUGCGGACUGGUUCAUUCCUUCUUUUUACUCCAAGGGAGUCAAGAUUGAAAAUUCUAACCCAUGGUCACUAAAAUUUUGGGGUGUUAAUUUUCUUUCUUCCUUUUUUUUUAAUAAUCGUCAAUUUUC